AGUCUGUGGAAUUUGUGGGUUAACUCCCUCCGAGGCAUGUUGAUUAGUAACAUCCUCCGAGGCAUGUUGAUCCGUAACAUCUUCUGGGGAAGACGGAUCCGAAGAUGAUGGUUGUUUCUGAUUCAUGAUGAGGGCAAUCGUUGAGGACUUGCGGAAGCUAAAUCAGGAGCGAAGCCGCUCUGAUACCAUGAAAGAAAGCAAGAUCGAAGACAAGGAGAGAUGGCUUUGGGAGAAAAUUCAGUGUAUAUUUUCUCUGUAUUGCUCAAUACAUGAUGUACAAAUUUAUAAUACAAUGCAUAAAUGAAUAAAGGAAAUAAAAUAUUUUACAAA